rnacentral:rRNA from 1 species
GAUCAACGCUGGCGGCGUGCCUCAGACAUGCAAGUCGAACGAUUAAGACUCUCUUCGGAGAGUGUAUAAAGUGGCGCACGGGUGAGUAACACGUAGGUAAUGUACCGAAGGGUGGGGAAUAACUUAGGGAAACUUAAGCUAAUACCGCAUAAUGCAGCGGCUCGACAUCGAGACAGUUGUUAAAGGAGCAAUCCGCCUUUUGAGCAGCCUGCGGCAGAUUAGCUAGUUGGUAAGGUAAUGGCUUACCAAGGCUACGAUCUGUAACCGACCUGAGAGGGUGGUCGGUCACACUGACACUGAAUAACGGGUCAGACUCCUACGGGAGGCAGCAGUGGGGAAUAUUGCGCAAUGGGCGAAAGCCUGACGCAGCGACGCCGCGUGGGUGAUGAAGGCC